rnacentral:rRNA from 1 species
GCGGCUUCCUGGUCCGACACCGACGUUCAGGCACGAAAGCGUGGGGAGCAAACAGGAUUAGAUACCCUGGUAGUCCACGCCAUAAACGAUGAGAACUAGACGUUGAGAGGGUAAGCCUCCCAGUGUCGUAGCUAACGCGCUAAGUUCUCCGCCUGGGGAGUACGGCCGCAAGGUUGA